AUAUCUCUCUGUACGGGAAGGAUGAGAAGCUUCGACUAAGGUUCGAUUCGAGCGUCAGCGAGAAAGCGUUG
rnacentral:sRNA from 4 species